UACUUAGGGUGCAAGCGUUGUCCGGAAUUAUUGGGCGUAAAGAGCUCGUAGGCGGUCUGUUGCGUCGGCUGUGAAAACCCGGGGCUCAACUCCGGGCCUGCAGCCGAUACGGGCAGACUAGAGUUCGGCAGGGGAGACUGGAAUUCCUGGUGUAGCGGUGAAAUGCGCAGAUAUCAGGAGGAACACCGGUGGCGAAGGCGGGUCUCUGGGCCGAUACUGACGCUGAGGAGCGAAAGCGUGGGGAGCGAACAGG
rnacentral:rRNA from 1 species